rnacentral:misc_RNA from 1 species
CUCCGAUCCUAUCCGUACGUGUCGGUGGCUCAGCUCGCUAGCUCGCUUGCCAGCUCGUGGUUUCUCACGGGCAGAAGGUGAUCUCGUAGCUCGUCCCGGCCGGGCACGUGAAGACGGUGUUGGUCGUGUCCCGGGGGUACGUGAUCGUCUGCGGGCACGCCUUCUUGAAGUACUCCGUCCCGUUGUUGGGGCCGCAGCUGCUGCUCUUGCCGUCGCAGGGGUUGCCGCACCCGGCCACCCGCCGCUGCUCGGAGGGGCAGUCGAACGUGAUCUCCUGCACGGGGCACGACGGCCCGCCGCGGCCGCACCUGGCGCCGCCGCCGCCGCCGCUGGCCGGGAGGAACGACAUGGGCGCGUUGAAGCCGUGGACGAGGGAGAUGUCGAACCGGUCGGCGCCUGUGCCGCCGAGCGAGUACUCGGCCAGCGUGAUGGGCUCGAACCCGACC